UAGAUUGAUAUGGUGUACGGUGUAGCAU
rnacentral:sRNA from 1 species